UUUUCGUGCAUGUACGUGAAACACAGCUCGAGGGCUGUUGAUUUUUUUACGAUAGGUGGCGCUGUCGAGCCAUUUUGCCACACCCUCUUCUGAAACCUAUAUCAGACGUAAAUUUUCACCAGGUCUGACGCGUGUGCAAAGUUUCAGGACUUUUCGAGCAUGUUUAGGCCCUCAAAAAUGCGAUUCAUUUUGGAGAAGAAGAAGAAGAAGAAUAAUAAUAAUAAUAAUAAACGAAGCAGAUACAAGAGGGUCCUCACACCAUCGGUGCUCGGGCCCUAAUUAAAGCUGCAAGCAGCGAUGAACGGGCCCUCGCACCCGGGCUCACCACCACCGGGUGGCUUUUGUAAAACAGCGAACGGCGAGAAAUAUGCGUUUAAUGUGGUAAAUAUAAGAGGAAUAUGUCAAAGUCAUUUAUAUAUGCCAAUCUUCCUGCUGCCAGCUGGUGGCGCUAUGACUAUAACUGGAUGUUGUCAUGUAGAUUUCUUCAGUCCAGCACUUUUAUCAAGCAUAUGAAAUUUAGUGCAGAUUGAACAUGGAAUGUUUGAGUUAGUAUAAAGCAUGUUGUGUCCUAUUGCCAACAGGUGGCGCUAUGAUUAUAACUGAACAUUGG
ensembl:lncRNA